UACGAAGGUGGCAAGCGUUGUUCGGAUUUACUGGGUACGUACAGGGAGCGUAGGCGGUUGGGUAAGCCCUUCGAUGAAAUCGUCCGGGCCUAACCCGGAAAGUGCGGAGGGGACUGCUCGGCUAGAGGAUGGGAGAGGAGCGCGGAAUUCCCGGAUGUAGCGGUGAAAUGCGUAGAGAUCGGGAGGAAGGCCGGUGGCGAAGGCGGCGCCCCUGGCUCGCAACUGACGCUCAGACACGACAGCAUGGGGAGCGAACGGG
rnacentral:rRNA from 1 species